GUGGGGAAUAUUGGACAAUGGGCGAAAGCCUGAUCCAGCCAUGCCACGUGUGUGAAGAAGGUCUUCGGAUUGUAAAGCACUUUAAGUUGGGAGGAAGGGCAUUAACCUAAUACGUUAGUGUUUUGACGUUACCGACAGAAUAAGCACCGGCUAACUUCGUGCCAGCAGCCGCGGUAAUACGAAGGGUGCAAGCGUUAAUCGGAAUUACUGGGCGUAAAGCGCGCGUAGGUGGUUCGUUAAGUUGGAUGUGAAAGCCCCGGGCUCAACCUGGGAACUGCAUCCAAAACUGGCGAGCUAGAGUACGGUAGAGGGUGGUGGAAUUUCCUGUGUAGCGGUGAAAUGCGUAGAUAUAGGAAGGAACACCAGUGGCGAAGGCGACCACCUGGACUGAUACUGACACUGAGGUGCGAAAGCGUGGGGAGCAAACAGGAUUAGAAACCCCAGUAGUCC
rnacentral:rRNA from 1 species